AACAAGGUGGCUGAAGUAUAGGCGAUAAAUUGUAAAUUUAUUUAUAGAUAAAAUCUUCUUGUUA
rnacentral:tRNA from 1 species